CCACCCGAGACUCAGUGAAAUUGAACUCGCUGUGAAGAUGCAGUGUACCCGCGGCAAGACGGAAAGACCCCGUGAACCUUUACUAUAGCUUGACACUGAACAUUGAGCCUUGAUGUGUAGGAUAGGUGGGAGGCUUUGAAGUGUGGACGCCAGUCUGCAUGGAGCCGACCUUGAAAUACCACCCUUUAAUGUUUGAUGUUCUAACGUGGACCCGUAAUCCGGGUUGCGGACAGUGUCUGGUGGGUAGUUUGACUGGGGCGGUCUCCUCCUAAAGAGUAACGGAGGAGCACGAAGGUUGGCUAAUCCUGGUCGGACAUCAGGAGGUUAGUGCAAUGGCAUAAGCCAGCUUGACUGCGAGCGUGACGGCGCGAGCAGGUGCGAAAGCAGGUCAUAGUGAUCCGGUGGUUCUGAAUGGAAGGGCCAUCGCUCAACGGAUAAAAGGUACUCCGGGGAUAACAGGCUGAUACCGCCCAAGAGUUCAUAUCGACGGCGGUGUUUGGCACCUCGAUGUCGGCUCAUCACAUCCUGGGGCUGAAGUAGGUCCCAAGGGUAUGGCUGUUCGCCAUUUAAAGUGGUACGCGAGCUGGGUUUAGAACGUCGUGAGACAGUUCGGUCCCUA
rnacentral:rRNA from 1 species